ensembl:lncRNA
GCUCCUCCUCCUCCUCCUCCUCUGUAAGCUCUGGAUGCUAAGGUACAGCUAACCCCCUGCCUCCCCCUCCUCCUCCUCUGUAAGCUCUGGAUGCUAAGGUACAGCUAACCCCCUGCCUCCUCCUCCUCCUCUGUAAGCUCUGGAUGCUAAGGUACAGCUAACCUCCUCCUCCUCUGUAAGCUCUGGAUGCUAAGGUACAGCUAGCCUCCUCCUCCUCCUCCUCUGUAAGCUCUGGAGGCUAAGGUACAGCUAGCCUCCUCCUCCUCCUCCUCCUCUGUAAGCUCUGGAUGCUAAGGUACAGCUAGCCUCCUCCUCCUCCUCUGUAUGCUCUGGAUGCUAAGGUACAGCUAGCCUCCUCCUUCU